rnacentral:lncRNA from 1 species
UAGGAUGCAUAUUGGUGCUUAAAAACUCUUUCUUCACUCAACAAAUUUUAUCAAUGCUUUUAACUCAUUCCUCCAUUUGUUCAUGGAAUUAUGUAAUGAUGAUUUGAUGUAAAUCCUUACUAAUUAAGAAUCUUGGCUACAAUCUUCUUGGCUUGACAUUCAGCUAAGUUAAAGUUAAUUGUGAAAUCUUCAUUUCUUUCAUUUAGAGUUCUCUUGGCAUAUCGUUAGUUUAGUUGAUAUGUUUGUUUGCUACCAUUCAUUAUUGUAGUUUUUCACCAUUCUUCACUUGUGGAUUGUUUGGUAGGAAGUUUUGUGAGAUAAUUCUUUGUGGAAUGACUAGGUGAUUGUUAGGACAGUUCUUAUGCAAUUUUUGUAUGCAUAAGCAACCUUUUUCUCCCCUUCCCCCAUGAUUCUUUUCAAUUCUGAAAACCUCGGGUAGCUUCUAUGUUUUCUUUCCUCUUCCCGUGAUUACUCUUUUAUGUUUUCUUUCAUCAUCGUCCCAUGUUUACUCUUCUAUGUUUUCUUUCCUCUUUCCAUGUAUACUCUUGUGUCUUCUCGUGACUAUAUUUCUAUAUCUAUACCUUUUGUUCUUCUUUUAUCACAACUUUUUGGUGAACUUUUCACCUUCCUUGAAAACACAUUUGAAUCCUAAGUCAUAUUUUUUUAAAAAAUGAAGCGAGUUUUACUCUCUUGUCCUAUAAUGGAUGCUUAUAUUCAUGUUGUCUUUGUAGGUUCAACUGGAAUCGACAACUUCAUGAGUUUACUUUCAAAGAACACUUUCAGAGACGAACAUUCUCGGUUGGUCGUUUAUGUUUUAGCAGAAAAUCUUGUUAUAUGUAUUCUGAUGCAAUUUAAAAUAUUUUUUGAUUAAGGGCUAGGAUUCCGUACUUGUAAAUUGUUGGAAGUUGAUUGGAAAUGUACGAAUAUUAUAAAUUGUAUUAUAGCGUAUAUAUAUUAAAGUGUCGGCUAUUUUUUCUAUAUGGGUGUCAAUAUUAUAAAUUCAAAAUUGUCAUUGUCGGCUACAUUAUUGUCAUUCAAAUGGUUCGUGUAAUGGCGGAGUGGCAAAGAGAACAGAAAAAAAUUGUAGUAAUCGAGUAAUUUGCAACAGGAAAAACAUGUCGUAAUAUAUGAAUUAUUAAUUGUUGUGAAUACCAAAACAAUGACAGUUUUUUUUACAAAAUUAAUUGUCACGAUUGUGCUAUCUUUGACAGAAAAAAAAUGUCGUCAAUAGCAAAAUAAUGACAUUUCUUUAAAUAAAAACUGUCGCGAUUGACAUAUCCAUGACAUUUAAAACAUGUCACAAUAAACGAAUUCGCGACAUUUAUUUAACUGUCGUUAAUACAUAAAUGAUGAUAGUUAUUUAUUGUCAUAAAAUAAAAUAUGACAGUUAUUUGAUGUCGUAGAAUGCUAACUAACGACAUUUAUUUUAUGUCAUGAAAUAAGUUAUUGCGACAGUUUUUGAAAACUGUCAUGGAAGGACUUUCCAUGACUCCCGCUUCUAUGACUGUAAAUAACUGUCAUGGAUUUUGUUCGCGACAGUAAAUAACUGUCGUCGUAAACCAUUUUUCUACUAGUGCAAUAAGCUAAACUUAAGUUUAAAUCUAACUAACACUCUCAAAAUACCUAACAAUUCUGCAUACUUCUGAAAUUCAGAAGAAUUUGGUCGUCAGAUAUCUCCUCAACAAAGCUAGCUUCAUGCAAACCAUAGGAUCAUAUUUGUUUACUUUAACUAAAACCAACGUAUUUGUGGAAAAGAGUUACGCUACUGAUGACAUGUUUUAGUUGUGCAUGGAAAUUAAUAAGAAAUUAUCUUUUGCUUACAUGUUGUCUACUUUUAAUGUUUGGAAUGCUAGACUAUGUCAUGUUAAUAAAAGAUUAAUUAGCAAUAUGAGUAGGUUGAAUCUUAUCCCUAAGUUAUCUCUGCAUGAUUUUGAAAAAUGUACACGUUGUAGUCAAGUUAAGAUAACUAAGAUAUCACAUAAAUCUGUAACUAGGGUAACUGAACCUCUAGAUUUAGUUCAUUCUAGUUUAUGUGAAUUUGAUGACACGUUACCUAGGAAUGGUAAAAGGUAUGUUAUAACCUUUAUAGAUGACUCUUCCAAUUACACUUUUAUUUACCUGCUUGAAAAUAAAAGUGACGCCUUUGACAUGUUCAAGGUGUUUAUAACUGAAAUAAUAAAUCCAUUUAACAAAAGAAUUAAAAGACUUCAUAGUGAUAGAGGAACUAAAUAUGAUUAAGUUUUUUCAAUGAGUUUUACAACUCAAAAUGAAUAAUACACGAAACAACUGCACCUUACUCUCCUAAAAUGAGUGGAAAAGUUGAAAGGAAUAAUAGAACUCUAACUGAGUUAGUAGUUGUUAUCUUGCUUGAAUCAGGAGCAACACCAUUGGUGUGGUGAAAUAAUUAAAACAGUUAAUUAUGUCCUUAAUAAGAUUUCUAAAUCAAACGGUAAAACUUCACCAUACAAAGUUCUUAAGAAUAAAGCACUGAACCUGUCUUAUCUUAGAACUUGGGGUUUUCUGACCUAUGUUAAAAUACCUGAUACUAAAAGAAGAAAACUAACUAGUAGAGCCUAUGAAUGUAUCUUCAUAGAAUACACUAAAAACAGUAAAGCUAGAUUUUAUGACUUAGAAAAUAAGGUAAUCAUGGAAUCAAACGACAUAGAUUUCCUUGAUGAUAGAUUUCCUUUUAAAUCUAGAAAUAGUGGGGCUCAAAUAGUCAAAGUAGUGGAGGUUCAAGUUCAAGUAGUUUACCUUCAGUUGGAUCCAAAUCCAAGAUAAGGAAUUAGAUCCUGAACUUAGAAGAAGCAUGAGGUUUAGAACCAUAAAAGAUUUUGGAGAAGACUUUAAAAUAUAUAACGCAGAAGAUCCUAAAGAUCUAAUAGAAGCUUAUCCUCGGUAGAUGCCAACUUAUGGCAAGAAGCUAUCAAUGAUGAAAUGGACUCGUUUGAAUCAAAUAGGACUUAGGACUUAGUUGACUUAUCCCUUGGAUGUAAAGCAAGAGGCUCCAAAUGGGUUUUGAGAAAGAAACUCAAACCUAAUGGAUCAAUAGAUAAGUAUAAGGCUAGACUAGUAGCAAAAGGUUUUAGGCAGUGAGAAAACAUAGAUUUCUUCGACACUUUCUCCAUGGUAACUAGAAUCACCUCAAUUAGAGUGCUAAUUUCCAUAGCUGCUUUGAACAAUCGCUUAAUAUAUCAGAUGGAUGUUAAAACUGAUUUUCUAAAUGGUGAUUUAGAAGAAGAGAAUUAUAUGGAACACCGUGAAGGUUUCAUAGUUCACGGUCAAGAAUCUAUAGUUUCUAAAUUAGAUAAAUCCCUCUAUGGCCUAAAACAAGCUCAUAAGCAAUGAUACAAAAAUUUUGACAACUUAAUCAUGUCCAAAGAAUUCAAAGUAAAUGAUAAUGACAAAUGUAUUUACUAUUGGAAUUUGUGUCCUUAAACUCGUAGAUUGUAAAUGUAAUUAAUUGAUCGUGUUAUUGAUAAAAUGUUAUUACUAUAAUUUCAAUAAGUGUUAUUGAUUAUAUUAUUAGUUUCGUCUUAAUAAUCUAAAUCAAAUAAACUAACAUCCUAAGCUGUUUGAUGAGUCUUGAACAGUAUGUAAAGACAUAGAAAGAUCAAUGUUCGAGAUCAACUUAAAUGGUCAGUAUAGGGAUAAGGCUGGGUACCUUAUCCUGGUAACACUAUGGAUACAAAUAAUUUUGUAUUUGAUAUAAACGCAAUGAUCCAACGCGUUCAUGUAAGUGACAUGUGAGUGAAGGUAUCCUAGUUUAAUUAAGAUUGAAUCACGAAAUAGUAACCACUAGAUGUAACUCCGAUAACUAGUUGGAUUUCUAUUUCAUUAGGAUGACCUAGGUAACUUAGUCUUAAUCUUGAGUGUAUUAUGAACUCUUGUUCGCGAGGGACUGUCUUUUAAUUUUUACAAGUGAGAGUGGUCAUAUUGCCUACUCAACAUACUUAUCAUUUUGGGGACAAGACCAAGUGGUGAGCUGAGAACAUAAUCACACAAGAUGAAAUUCACUCCUUUCUGAAUUUAGGGUAAGUAGAUGAGUGUUCCCUUAAAUGGUGUCUUUGAGACUUGAAUAAAUGGUCCUACCCUUUCUGUGACAAAAUAAGGGUUUUUGUUUAUUGGUUGGACCAUAGACAAGUUGUUCAUUAGAAGAGCACUAGUAUUUAAGGAAUAGAAGUAACUCAGAGGUAAAAUGGUAAUUUAACCUAGCUGGUGUUACGAACACUCGUGAAGUACUAACUUACUCGUAUUUGACUAUAUUCGUGGACACUGAAAUAUAUCUAUAGUGAGUCUUUAGUGAAGUGUACAUAUAGUUAAUGAAUAUCGAUUAAUGUGGUUAAUGAGUUUAGCCAAUUAAUCUUAUAUUGUUAUAGCUUGUGGUCUGUAGAUCCAUUAGGUCCCUUUCCUAACUUGUAAAGGGUAAUGAGAUUUAUUUGUAUUGGUUAUAAUUUGAAAUGUUCAAAUUUACUUUGAGAAUUAGUAUAAUGUAUGGUGAUACAUUAUAAUAUAAAAUUUAUAUCUUAUUUAAACUUUAUUAUAUAAAUUUAAUUUUAGAUAUGAUUCAAAAUUAAUUUAUAAGAGAUAAAAUAUUUGAAUGAGUUCAAAUAUUAAUAUAAUGUGAUUUAGAUUCAUAUUAAAACUAUAGGUUAAAAUUUAAUGCUUAUAUAAUACACAUUAAAACUAUAAGUCAUGAGAGAAAUUUAUAUUUAAGUAUAAUUCAAAUUUGAAUUAAAUUAAAUAUAAAAUAUUUAAUUUAGUAAUUAAUUAAUUGGAGAAUUAAUUAAUAGUUUAGUUUAUUUUUAGGGGCAUUUUUAAAAAUAGCAAAAUAAAUUAAAAUACUUACAAGUUAUAGCAAAAUUUAGGAUUAUACCAAUGAUAGUCUUCUAUCAAGCCUAUCAAUGACUAUAAGUGAUAGAAUUUGUUAUAGGUUGUAAAUAUUUUUGUAAAAUUUGCUAUUUUUGAAAAUUUCUCUUAUUUUUAUUUAAUUAAAUUUGAAUAAAUUAAAUUAAAAUGGAAAGAUAUGUGACAGAUAUUUCGAGCACUAGAGUGUCUUCUGAGUGUUGUGAAUUCCAAUUAGUACAAGUGCAAAACUAAUAAAAGAACGAGGUUGUUUUAUCCUGGGGACGAUGAGGUGAAUCAAAACUGUUUUAACACAAAGGAGCAGAGUCGUAAAAUGUCUAAAAGAGAACGAGAUCCACGACUCAACCAUCUUUUAACUAGUUUUUUUUUUUUGUUUUGCAGUUUGCAUUUUGACCAAGCAACAAGCAGGUGACUUGACGAGCAGACGACUUGAUUAGUAUGCGAGCUGAAUUGUUGGUGUUUUGAUCAAUUGGCAAGGUGUUUACUUGGUGAUUUAAACAUUACGUGAGCUAACCAAAGAAGGGAUUCUGACUAGGCGAGAUACUAACACACUAUGUGAGAUAUAGAGCGUUAAGGCUAAUCAUCACUCCUCGACGAAUUGCAACAACAAAAAUGGUUCAAUGGUCCACACAAAAUUAAUUAAGAAAAACGUAAAAUUGAUUAUAAGAAAAAAUUCAAAAUAUUUAAUUUUAGCAAAAAAAAGUAAGUAUAUUAUUAUUUUAUUUGUAACACUCAAGGCCCAUGAUUCAAAGCAGGAUUCGAAAUUCGAAUCUCCGACAUUUCCAUACAUUCUCAUCAAUCAUUUACUUGUCUUAAGUACUUAUUAGAAUGAAAGUUCUUCCCACAAACCAACAUGAGUCUUUUUAGGAUGCUUUUUUCUAGGAAAAUUCCCUAGAGAUCACCAAACAUAGAAUUGCUCCAAGUUAAGUAGGCUUAACUUUGAAGUUCCUAUGAUCGAGCCAUUGAAAAGGAAGACGCACCCUGUUGGUAUAACUAUUAACUUUUAAUUAUUAUUAGUCUUUCUUAACCUCAACUUUCAAGUCCUUAGGACUCAUCUCAUUUAGAUGUGAUAUCAAUUCAUUCAUGUCGUCGAACAACAUCUUACUGGGUGAGGUUCCGCUCUGAUACCAUUUAUAACAACUCAACUCCUUAUAGUAAGUUGAGGUCAUUAUAAAUAAAGUAAAUAACAAUUUUUUAGUUGAAAAAAAAGGAGAAAACUAAAUCCUUAAUAAAUAAAUUCAAAAUACUCGAUCAUAAAUCACUGUUGGGUAAAACAUAAAUAAAUACUUGUAAACAUAGUCCUAGUUCGUGCUCUAUCUAACUUUUAAAGAAAAUAACAUUAAAAAAAUUAAUGAGUUUCGAUAAAUUUCGAGAAAAAAUACCAAAAUCAAAUAUUGAGACAUGAAAGGCGGAAGCAACAUAAUUCCCUUAUGGCAAAUCACGGACCCUUUUUAUCAUUCGCCAACUUCCCUCUAUCUCUACCUUUGCUUGUAAAAUUAAACAUAGAAAAGAGUGAGUAUAAACAUAUACUCAGUUAAGGAACCUAUUACUACUCCUGUUAGGUGUCUGUUAAUUUUUCAUUAAGAUUCCGUGAGAAAAUAUCCAAAACUAACGUGUGCCCGAUGGAACAUACACAAUCUCGUGAUCCCGAAUGAACACUCUUAUCAAUGGGUGAACGCGAACGAAAACCAAUGAUAUCAAAGUGUAAGUAGUGAUCCCGUUGGACCGCUCAUAAGCAAGACGUUAAUAUCAAUAAUAAUAAAGUUUUUAAUAAUGUGAUUAAUAUAUCAUGCAUAAAAAUCAUGCCAGUCAUCAUCUACAACACACUAUAUGCAUCACUACAUUAAUGCAUAAUAGAAAAUACAUGCGAGCUCUUAAUCUCAUUUUCAUUUGAGAUCUAGUAGUAGAAUCACUUACCUUGAGGUUAGCUAAAACAAUAAUUUAUUGGUUAAGAGUCAAAUCUUAAUUAACUUAGUCCUAAACAUAAAAGGGAAAUAAUUUAAUAACUUUAAAAUUUACCAGUGGCUAACAUCCAAAAUUUUUCCAAUUCGACUUACCAACAAAUGAGGUUGAAACCAAUUCAACCUUGAUAGAAAAUGCACAAAUACCUACUCCAAAAACUUAGCCAAUUGAACCUUCAAGAUAAAAUAUUUAACUAGAUCCAAAUUAAUUUAUUUAGAAUCCAAAAAUUAAAUUUGGAUGAAUAUACCUAAAAUCCAAUCAAAUAUUCACCAAAAACACCCAAAUGACUCAACUGCUUAGAAACACCAAAACCCACCAAUAAUAAUUAUUUCCACAAAGAUAAUUAUCUUUCUUUUUCUCAUAUGAAUUAUAUAUAUAUAGUUAUCAAUAUCUCUAACAAAAGCUAGAAUUCCUCAAUUUAAUUAAAUAAACACCAAAAUAUAUUUAAUUAAAUUAAAUUUCAACAAAACCAUAUAAUUUACCUUCAAUUAUCUCAAAAUAUACAACACCAAUAUAUUGUAUAUAAUUAAAUAAAAAUAAAAAUAAUUAAAUUUAAAAUUAUCUUAAUUUUUAGAGUUUUAUAUUUUAUUAUACGAUCGUUUAAAUUUGAAACCUUGAAAAGAUAAAUGAUAAAUUAAAAUGAUCAUUUACCAAGAUUUAAAUGAUCGUAUACCAAUAUCUAAACAAUAUAUAGUUUAAAUUAUAUUACACGAUCACUUAAACUUGAAGUUUUUUUCAUGAUUGUUUAAAUUUCACUAUACGGUUAUGUACGAAGGUUUAAACAAUUGUUUAUUAUGAUUUAAAUUCAUCGUUUAGAAAAAGAUUACUCGCACGCGUUUGAUCGAUUAAUCGCGUGUUGACUGAGAUAUUUUUUAUAUUUUACAUUGUGAGUAUGUGAGUUUUUCCUUUUUCAAAAAUGUUUUAUACAGUGUAAAUAUUCUACAGGUGUACUAUAUUCUUCAAAACCCCUUAACUUUCCUCCUAACUUUUGUAUUCAUCAAAUUUUUUUUAAUGUUUUUCUUAAAAUUAUUCCUAUUUUUAGGCAUAGGAGUGGCAAGUAUACAUUCGUAAUAAACAUUUUAAAAAAUAGUAAAAGUAUUAAAACUAAUUACAAAUUUUAUUUCAGUAAAUAAUAAUUUUUUUUUUCAUAUUCAUGGCCAUUUCUCUUUGUAAUAUUUUUUAAAAUGCAAGUUACAAAUUUGUAGGAUAAUCAAAUAAUCCAAAUCAACCUCAUACAAAUAAAUAAUAUUUUUUUUUUUUUAAAUCAGAUUUUAUCUCAAAGCUAAUAUCUAUACAUCAUUUGUGAAUAAAUAUUUUUUUUUACUCAGAAGUCACUUUUCUUCUUGAUUUUUUUAAUUAAAAAAUACACCUACCUAUUUAUCUCUAAUAUAAGAGAUAUUAUAUCUACCAUCAAAGUUUAAAAUAAGAGAUAACAAAUUUAGUUUUAAAUUUUAAAGAAAUAAUUUUAGAGAAACAUAUUUAUUCAAAUUUGUUUUGAGUAAUACGAAUUCUUUCAAAAGAUAUAUAUACAGAAAAGAAAGAAUAUUUAGAUUCUUAAUUUAAUUUAUGUUUAUAUACCUAUAUUUUUUUUUGAAAACACGUGUGCACGUAGUUCCAAUAAUUUUGUAAAAUGUUUUAAAUUCUAAAUUUAGGAAAUUAUUAUGAUAAAUUAUUUUAAAAGGAAAAAUGGUUAGAAAUAUAAUUAAAAUUUAACCUAAUGACUUACAAAAGUAUAUAACAAAAUAUCACUUCCACUUUAAAAUUUCGUUAAUUUUUUUUCUUUUUUUUACUAUAUUUUGUCAUUUUAUAAAUAUAUUUUUAAAAUUUAAAUGUGUGAUGAAUUGGAUUGGAUCACAUGCUUUAAAAAAUACAAAGUAUUGCUUCUUUUUUUUUCGUUUGAUUGUCAAUAAAUUAUUAUUUUACUUUAUACUAUUUUUUUAGAAAAUGUCAUGCAUGCAACCUCGCACUACUAUUCAACACACUAUUUAAAAUUAUUUUUCAAACACUAUAAACUACUUUAGAUAUGAUAAAUUAUAUAGGGUCAAAUAUAAAAUUUAAGAAACAAAAAUGUAUUCAACUGACGAAGAGACACGAAACUAUACAUAUUUCUAUGAGUAUAAAGUAUAAACUUAUAUCUUGUAUGUUUGAUAAAAUGGAUAUGAGCGAUUAUAAGCAUAUAGUUAUAUUAUCUAUUAGAACCCAGUAACUAAAGUAUUAUUCGACUAUUUUGAAGUUCAAAAAUCUCACCUACUAGAUAUAGCUACGUAUAUGAUCUUAUUUAAAAUUAAUUUUCUUUAUAAGAAAUAGUCUUCAACUACUUAUUAUAAGUUUUUAUGUUUUACCGUUUCUUUCCUCCAUGGUAUUGUCUUUGGAUGAGUUUUGAAUCCAAGACGUUUGGAUUUCAAAGGGAGACACACUCACUUUACCAAAGAUAGAAUAUAGCACAUGUCCCUUGUCCCUUUAAUAGAUGAUCUGCCAACGUGUUAUUGUUAAUAAUGGUUUAAAUUUUGUUGACAUUUUUAAUUAUUUUUUAAAAAGUUAUAGAUGAAAUCUAGAAAAUGUGGAAGUUCGAUUUCUAGAAUUUUUGAGGUGAGAAGUCGAUUCUUUCUAAGAUAGAGAUCAAUCUCCAAUAAUUUAUCUUUAAAAAGUUAAUGGGUUUUUUUAUGUUCAUUAAUCUAUCGUCAUGUUCAUAUAAUAUUUUGCAUUAAUUGCUAUAUUGAUGUUUGAUUCUUGGUAAAUUUCGUCUAACACAUUUGAAAGUUCUUUAAAAUAUAUUUUAUAAAUUCCUCUUAUGUACCAUAUUAUUGCGACUAUUAAAUUUAUAAAAUAUGAAAUUUCAAUUUUCUCUCAUUCUUAGAUGAGAAAAUUGAUUUUUUGAAAAUGUGAGAUUGAUUUCCAAUAUGUUCUUUUCUAUUAAAAUCUUAAUAUGCCAUGUUUGUUUAAUUUUACAUAUCUUCUUUACUUUAUCUAAUUUUCUUUUUAAGUCUUAUUUUAAUUUUCGUUUAAAAUUUAUCAAUAUUUCUUAUUAAAAUUUUCAAUAUUUAAAAUUCCUUCCAACUUAAAUUUCUCUACAUUUAAAAAUCUUUUACAAAACUUUUGAUUAAAUUAUAUAGAUUUUUUUCUUCCAAUUUACAAAUUUUUAUGUUUUUGAUACGCUUAAAUUUUAAUCUAUGAUUUCAUCCGGUUUUAUAAUCAAUUUUUUUUCCGAAUAAUUUACAACGUUUUUCUUAAACAAAAUCCUAUGAUAUCACAUCUUUUCGGUUCGAAAUUUGAUCAUAAGAAAAAAAUGAUUUUAAUUAAUGUUUUUUAAAAAAUCUUUAUUAAAAAGUUAUUCUUACGACGGAUUUUGAAAAAUUGUACUAAUUUCUCACAUUUUUAAAGAGAGAAAAUGUUCUUCACUAUAGUCUAAUUGUUACGAUACUUAUUUCAUGAGAUUAUUGCUUCAAAUAUUGGAGUAGUAAAGGUAAAAUAAGAUAUUAUUUUUAAAAAAAAUUAAAGUAUAUUUUCAAUACAGAGGAUUUGAAUUUUAGCUUGAGAUUUCUAAACGAGCCAACUCUUUUUUUCUUGUUCUAUUUUAAAAUUAACCAAUUUUGAGGACGUCGGCCACUCCAUCCGUCGGACAAGUGGUGAUAUUAGUUUUUUGUUUUAUAAUUAUCAUAUAAUAAAACAAAAAAGCUAACAUAUAAACCACACAAUAUUCAAAACUAUCUCCUUCCUUUCUGAAGAAAGAUGUAGGCCGGUCAGUGGACAUUAUAAAAUAAUAUAGCACAUUUAAUUUCUUACACCAACAUUCCUAUAUAUACACUACAACAUUUAAAUUCAAUAUCAUAUUGAAGUUCUUUAAUUGGGGAUGUACAAUAGCUUGGUUGGAAAAAUAUAAUGUGAAAAGGAAAAAGAUAUGACAAAUAAUAAAUUGUUAAGAGCCCAUGCAGGGGGAAUUGCACCCGAAAUAAGUAUAGAGUCUUUGGUCUAAAAUUUGGCCUCUUUUGACCACUUUUUCAAUGAGCUAAAAAGCCAUGCAUUAAUGCUUUCGUUGCACCUUUCUACUUAUUUUCUUCAUUAUUGCUUCAUUCAUUUGUUUGUCUAUGCAUCCUUUAUUCCAUAAGUCCUGAUAUUAUUACUUUUUUGGGUUAUUUUUCUACAAAAUAUUAGUACGUGUGAAGGUUAGUUUUGAAUGUUAAUUUUAUCAAGAUUCCAUUUAUAAUAUGAUUCAUGUGCAAAAUAUGGUCAAAGUUUUAAUCUUGUUGAUUUAGGUUUUGGAGUUAUAUUCCUUAUGACUUUGGAUGCAUAUUUAAAAUUUAGACCAUUUUAUUUUUAGUCCUUUAACUUUGGAUACUCGUGCUACCUAUAACUAAAUAUGUACCACUUUGAACCAAUAAUCGACAACCACUUUGAACCAAUAAUCGGCCACCACAUGUAAGCAUUAUUCAUUAUCUAAGAUUUCAUAAUUUGACACUGAUUUUAAUCCUAUUUAACUUUUAGUUUUUAAAAUUUGUACUUGUUUUCUUUUAAUUUUCUUGGUAUGAUUUUCACACAUUUUUCAGGAAAUACUGCACUUUUAGGAUUUUCAAACAUUUCUUAGGGAAAUGCUUGCACUCCCAGUUGAAUUCUAAAAACAAAAAACAAAGGAAAAACAUAAAAAUUUCUAUGUAGAAUUCGUAUUUAUAAGCUCAUUAUUUAAAAUUAAUAAAAUUAAAAAAUUAAAAAUUAAAAAACCAAAUAAUUAUGGCAGCAUUUUGUGACCCAUUUAGUUUUUAGUUUUAAAAAUCAAGCUUAUAAUUUAAGCACUACUUUCCUCACUAUAAUUCCAUUUUAUUAUAAGACUUUCAGCAAAUAUUUUUCAACUACCAAACCAAAUACUAAAGCCUAAUAUCUUUUUGGAUAACCAUCUCAUUUUAAAAUUUCAAUUUUUGAAAACUAAAGUCCUAUAAACACCUCAUCUUUCUCUAAGUUUAUUUGUUUUGAUAACUAUUGUCUACCAACGUUUUAAAAAAGCCAAACAACAUUGUGAGAACUAAAAAAAGUAGUUCUAAAACAUUUACUUUUUAUUUUUAGAAUUUGGUGAAGGGUAAGAAAUUGAAAAAACAUAAACUCAAUUUUCUAAAAGUAAAAGCAAAAAUUAUAGUAUAAAAUUGAAAGGAAAAAAAGUAAAGGAAACAUACAUGAAAAGAAAAAAAAAAGCAUAUAAGCCUAAAUAAACAAAUAUUUUAAGAUGGUUGUUUUCAACAUGAAACAUGGUUAAAACAUGGUUGAUUAGUUCUUGGAAUUAUUGCUGCUUUAAUUUUCUCCAUUUAUGAUUACUUUUGUUGAAUAAAAGAAAAUUUGGAAAAUUUGUUGUACAUAAGCAUUUUUUUUUAUCACGCGCACGACUAUAAAGAAAGAUUUUUAAAUAUAACAAAAUGAAUUAAAGAUAUUUUUUAAUUGUGUAACAAAAAUCUCGAUACAUUAAAAUCCACAUUACAUCUUGCUUUGAAUACUUCACCACACUCAAAAAUAUUGAUCAACUAAAGAUUAUAAUCAACAAACCCAUAUAUAUGUAUCAACUUUUUGCUAAAUAAAUCUAAAUUUUUAUACAAAGUUUAUAGGGUGUAGAAAUGUGUUGAAAAGUUUUAGGAAUAAAAUAAGUAGGAUGUUUUUAGAAAAAAGUUUUAAACUAAACCUAAAUAUAAUCAUAUGUUUAUCCAAUAAAAGAAAAUAUACAUUUAAAUAUUUGUUCAUUAUUAAUUAUAUAUUUCAGGUUGAAUACACAAGUUUUAUUUUUUUUAUAUCGGUAAGUGUUCAGGUCAGUUUAUAUGCACCUCGACGAAUAUCACGAGAUACCUUAUCUGAUCUUACAAUAUUUGGAUGUCAAGAAAACUCGUAACAAAUUAACUCCUAGAUAAGUGGACAUAAUAGAUUGAAUCAACCAUGACAUCUUUUAGUCACAAAAAUAUACAACCUUUUUCUUUUUAAUUCUUUUGCAAAGAUAUCGAUUUUAAUGUGGGGGAGGGGAAUCAUCAAACUUUUGAACUUGAGUUUAAUAGCAUAAGUACUAUGUCCAUUUGAUAAAUAUACGUCUUAUAAAUGUUGUCCAAAUGUGUGCUCUAGACGACGUGAGCAACUGACGUCCUACAAAAAUGUUAAAUUUGACUAAAAUAAAAACAGAAAGGAGUUCCCCACCAAUUUUUUUACAGUGUAACUCAACACUGAAAUAAAUUAAAUAAUUUAAAAAUAAAAUCAAUAAAAAUAGUAUUAGAAAAACUAGAAUUAAGUUCGGGAGUCGUUUGUGUAUGAGAAAGAUGUUAGCACCAUCCAAUAACGCCCGUUUAAAAACAGUGGCCAAAUUUUAUAUAUUGAAUUGAAAUAAUUAUUUAAAUAAAAAUAAAUUGAAAAAAACAGGAUUUUUAAAAAUAUCUUAUUUCACUGCUCAUGUGAGAUCCUGAUCGUGUUAUGAAACUACACGUUAAGACCACAUGCGAGAGAAAUUAGUUGCAUUGAGUUUUCACGCGAUAUUAGCUUCCUAGAAGUGGUGCAAUGCAAACUAUGUAAGGCAUUCUAGUUGUACGAUAAGAAAGAGCUACAUGUUGAGAUGAGAGGUGACAUGAGCUUCCUUCACCACGAAGUAGUUGACAUCCAUCCUAAAUAAUAAGUGGAGUUUGAAUUGACCUUGCCGUCCAAUUCGUUCAGAAUAAGGUAGUGGCAGUUGCUGUUGGAAAACGAACUUGCGCUAGACGCAACUGGAUUAACAUAAAUUUUUUUAUCCAACCUUAGAACAUAAACAAAAUGUGCAUAAACAAUUAAAUCAUGAAUAAACAUACAUUUAUGCCGAACUUAUCCAAAUCAAAUUAUAUUGUCUCUAUUCUUGAUAAGAAUGAUUCUUCAGUUUGUAUCACCAAAACGUUGCGAAAUCACAAGCGUUAUCUGACAGUAUCCACACACCAACUGAGAAUUUGACUCCUCGAAUUCGGGUCCUCUAGAAUCUCACAAAGUGAGAAUUUUGACUAUCGCUACUCUUUCUCUAUGUAAAACGAUUUUUUUGUUUUUACUUGUAUAUAAAAUAAGACCCCCAAGAUUUUAUUUAUAGGUUUCCUGGAGUUUCGUAAUAAGCUCAGGAUGCCUAAUAGGGCACUUCUAAUUCUUCAAUUGGGCUUAUAAUUAAUUAUGUCUCCUAAUAUGUUUUCAAUUCUCCAAUUUGACUUAUUAAUUCACUACUACAAAUUUGGUCUCUUGACACUCGUAAAUUUUGAUUUCUUGAUGGUCAUGACAAAUAACCAUAAAAAAAAAUUGAUACAAUGUUUAUCUUGGCGACCAUGUACGUCAAGAUAAGUCCCUUUAUUUUGUUGAAGAAAUACGAAAAAACAUAAAAAAUGUGGAUUCUUGAUUUCCUUAAUGGACAAAGUUCCGUUAGUUUUGUUGAUGAUCCACAAACAUCAAGAAAACUAUUUCUUGAUAGACAAUAAACAUCAAGGAUAAGAUAUUAGUUGAUUGGCAAUGUCCAUCAAGUUUGUUAGAUUUUCUUGAUGGACGAGGCCCGUAAAGGGUUGAAUUUUCUUGAUUUUAAUGACCAUCAUCGAAAAAGAUUAAUAUAUUUGUUUUUUAUUUUUUGAUGAGUCUAGGAUUUCUUAUGGACAAAAACAAAAAAAGAUCAUGAAAAAGGUCCAUCAAGAAAAAUGAUAUGGGUUAUCAAGAAGAAUGACAAAUUAUAUGUUUCACUUUAGAAAAAUAGCAAAAACAAUUUUAAAUUGUUAGAAUAGCAAAAGACAGAAAAUAUAAAAAUAAAUAAAUAAAUAAACCCCUAAAAUGUCCUUAUCCAAACUAAAAAAUUCGAAUUGUUUAGCACACUAACUUAAACUCCCGUUACACUCUAAUUGAAAAAGAAAUAGUACAUACAAAAUUGCCUCCAAAUAACUAAAAUAAAAAAAUAUAUAUCGUUACUGUGAAGCUCCACCUCAUACAUUCAUAAUUUAAACUUCUCAAGGUAAUCAUUCUCUUCCUUGCAGAAUCAACCACCAAAACAAAAUCAUUGUUAAGAAAUUUUGACUUAAUCAACAUAAACCAAUACACGUCCUUGUCUUCACCAAUCCAAAUAAGGGGUUCGAACUGUUACAUCUAUCCCAAUACAGAGUAAUGUGACACACAUAAAUAUGUAAGGAUGGAAAUUUUUUAUCUUGAAUGCACUGUAAAAAUUCUUGAAAUGAAAAUGAGCAUGAAACAAAUACAUCAACCACACACUAGUCAAUAUAUUGAGAAGAUUCUAUCCAUCUACCAUUAAAAAAAAAAGUCUUCACACGUUGCAUUGUCAUUAUAAAAUAUGAAGGAAUUCCAAAACAGGGGUACGAUAAGUGCGACCACUAAAGAGGACAGUUGCAGUGAAAUAAUUUCAAAACUGAAAACAAAUUCAUUCGAAUACUUUUGUAUCCAAAAUAAAAGUCAAAUUAAGAAAAAAAAUUGGUAUAAUUAAAUAAUUUCAAAAUAAAAAUCAUAUAAUUCUCACGACUUUUUUGGGAUAUAUAUUGUCAUUUGAAUAAUAUUUUUUAGUGUUUUUGUAGUUUUAAAUCAAUAUUUAAAAUCAAUUUUAAAUGAUAUUCAAUAAAAUCUAUGGAAAACAUCCCUCGUUUAAAAUGAUAAUUACAUAAACUGAUUUUAUUCUUGCUGUUAUACUAACAUUUAAUUCAUAAAGUAAUGCUUAAAAAUAGGAAAGAUACACUAUCUAUAUGAAUUUGUUAUUAUAUAAAAUGCAUAACUUUAGGUAGAAUAUAUUAUUUUAAAUUCAAAUUUUGGAAUCUUCGUUCCAACGAAACCUACCAUGAAGGAAUAACAUUAUUAAUGAUUUAAUUAUGUGAAUUAAAUAGUGUAAAUUAAAUAUGUAUUAUUAUAUAUAAUAAUAUGGUCAAUCCAUUUAUUGAAAAAUUUGUAUAUGCAUAAUUAUAGGGAAUAUACAUAAGUUGUUACUAUAUAAAAUGCAUAAUUUUAGGUAAAAUAUAUUAUUUUAAAAGAUAAUUUGUUAUCAAUUUAAGGCAUGAAUCUACCAUAAUUUAGUUAUAUGAGAUCAAUAGAUAAAAUAAAUAUUUAUUUAAUUUUUUUUGAAGAUAAAAUUGAAUGAUAUCCAAAUACACUGUAAUAUUAAUUUUACAGGAGAUUUUCGUUAUAAGCAUGAUAUUUAUUCUAUCAUGGAAUAAAACCGGGUGAAAAAAUAUAAAAAAUAUCUAUUUUAUGAGAUUUUGCUAAAAAUCAAAUUAUUUUUAAUGUUUGCUAUUUUCUCAAAUGUACUUUCAUUAUUUUGCUAUUUUCACAGUUUUCUCAAAUGAUAUCUUGAUGGACAAAAAAUUAUAAUUGUCGCGACGUGAUCGCUACGCGGAGCGGCCAAUCUCCCCGUUUAUUUAAUUUUAAUAAAUAAAUAGUUUUAGAGUCGCCACCAACCAUAUUAGGUGCGAUUGGUCACCAAAAAAAAAGAAAAAAAAUGGUCUGCAUAAAUUCAUGACAUCUAAGUUCGGGAGUCGUGUGUAGGGAAGGGGUUAGCAUUACAACACCAUUAAAAUGGUUAUCCAAUUUUAUUUUUUAAACUAAAUUAUAGAGGUUCACAAAACAAAGUUUUUAUUUAGGUUUUAUUUAAAUGUCUCAAGUUUAUCAAUUCACAUCAAAGAAAAUAAAACCCAAGCAUGAAUUGAUAAUUAUGGGUGGCAUAAGAGCCAUUAAAAAAUGAAGUUUAUUUUUGUUUUAAAAGAUUUUUUUUAUUCACCUUAAAAUUUGAUAUUUUAAGCCAUUAAAAAUAUUAAGUUUAUAGCAAAUAAUUAUAGCAAGAUGCAUGCUGAUUAAUUAAUUAAUACAUCAUGCAAAUAAUUAGAAUAAGUGAGUGUCAAAAAUUAAAUUUGUCCAUAACUAACACAUAUGCCAAAUAGAUAAUUAUUAACGCUAAGAUACCACAUGGAUACAAGCAAUUAACAUGAAUUAACACAUCAUUUAAUUAAUUAACCAAAUGAAAUAAUUAACAUAACACCCAAAUGGAUGUCAAAUAAUUAAUCCAUAACACAUUAAUUAAUUAACCAAGUAGCUAAAUGGAUGCGAAAUAAUUAACCAGAUGCAAAACACUAAGUAAUUAGCAUAGCAAUCAAAUAGUCAAAUGAGUGCCAAAUUAAUUAACGAGAUGCAGAACUCAACAAUCAAAAUAAUCAAAUGGCCAAAUGGAUGUGAAAUAGGUGUAAGUGAUUUACACACAAUGAAUGUGAGAUGGGUGUCAAAUAAUUAAAAGAAUGCAAAUAAUUAAAAGAGAUCAAAUGAGUGUCAAAUGAUUAAUAUGAUGCAAAUAAUUAAAAGAUGUCAGCAGCUAAUUAAUGGGUGAUUUAAAUGAAUAAUUAAGACAGCAUCAAAUGAGUGCCAAAUAAUUAAGCAAGUAUCAUCAACCAUAAAUAAAAAAGGAACUUACAGGUCUGCCCUUAAAUGCAAAAUGUUCUGAUCCUCUUCAACCCUUCAACUCUUCCCAAUGUUCUGAUCCUCUUCAACCUUUCCCAAUUUUUUUUUACGUGUCUCCCUUCUCUAUCAAAUAAUCUUCUUAGGGCAAGGUCUCAUUUUUUAGAUAGUGAAGUGGAGUGCAUGAGAGAAGGGGAAGAAGGUGGAAGAGUGGGAGAAUGUGAGAGAUUGGGAGAGAGUGGGACGUGGUGACCAAGAAAAACAGGGAUGGUUGAGAAAAAUAAGGAGAAGAAAAAAAAAAACUUUUACUUUUAAAUUUUAAAUAUGUUUUUAUUUUUAUUUUUGUUUUAAAACAUAAAUUUAAAAUUUAAGAAUUAAGAUUUAAAAUUUAAAAUUUAAAAUUUAAAUUCAAAUUCUUUUAAAAAAUAAUAAAUAAAUAAAAAAAACAAAAAAAAAACAAAAUACGGUAUCUACAAUCAUUUUGGGUUUAUGAUAAGAUCAUCCAAAAAACUUAUCAAUAAAAAUCAAUCAUCUACCUUAUUUUAAAUUAAAUUAUUUUUAUUCACCUACUUCUAACCCAAAGUAGAAUUAAUUCCUAAUUGACAUCUUACAUUGAUUUUAUCACCCACAAAACGACUAUCAAUAAAUAAAGUCUUCUAAUAUCUCUUUAUAAGCUGACCGAAUUCACAUAAAAUGAAAUCUUGUGUGAAACCGAUCAUUAAUCACAAAUAUGUGGCCAUUAGAUUAGAUUCAAAGUAUUAUAUAAUCAUUACAUUUUUAAAAAGUUAUAAAUAUAACCAAAUUUGUACUAUAUGGUAAAUAUUGAUUUAUAUCACCAAUAAAUUAUAAGUCUAUCAACGAUAAUUUGUUAUAUUUGUAAUUUUUUUUAAAAUGCUGCUUUGUUGUACGCUUGAUUAUAUCACUAAAAUUGCUAUCCAUUUUAACAAGUUUAGUAAAAAUAAUGAAAACAAAAUUCCUAUCUUAAAUAUAUAUUAGGAGCAUUUUCAAAUAUAGCACAAUGAACAAAAAAAAAUAUUUACAAAAUAUAACAAACUUUUAGAUUCUAUCAACAUUUACAAAAAUAGAUUUUAUCAAUGUCUAUAAUUUUUUUAGGGACAUUUUUAAAAGUAGCAAAAUAAAUUAAAAUAUUUACAAACUAUAACAAAAUUUUGGAUUAUAUCACUUAUAGUCUUCUAUCACAAUAACAUAUCAAUAAUGACUAUAAGUGAUAGAAUUUGCUACAGAUUGUAAAUAUUUUGUAAAAUCUAAUAUUUGUAAAAAUUCCUAUUUAUUUAAUAAUGUGUUUUUAAUAAAUAUCGACAAAAAUAGAAUAGGCGCGAAACUAUUGACAAAAUUAGUGGAGCGAAGUUGUGUACUUGUCGUGGACCUGAUACAUGUCUACGAGCUGAAAUAUGAUUGGAGUCGUGUACCUGGUAUUAUUGCUUCCUGAUCCAUGUUUUAAUUAAUGGCAGAUUGGUGUGGACUUACGUGGGUCAUAUGAUUUGCUUUCAUAUCGUUGACCUAGUACUCGUUGAUUUCCCGACCGUGUGUUCUGAUAAUUAUUUUUAAGUUUAAUGGAUAUUAUUAUUUUUUAAUAUAUUUUUAAGUUUUAAUGGACAUUAUUAUUUUUUGUGAUUAUUAAUUUGUUUUUUAUUUUGAACUUUUCAAUGGACAUUAUGGUAAACUUAUAAUUUCAAAAGAACAUGAAAUUUUGAGUUCAAAGACUAUAAAAAUGAUCAAAAUUGUAUUCUUACACUUAUAUAACUAAUAUAAAAAUGUUAAAAAUAAUAUAAUAAAAAAAACCAACCCGUCGGUUCAAUCCAAAUUUUUUGGGUUGGGUUGAGUUGAUCCUUUAAUAUUGAACCGAUAGGGUUCAAAUUUUGCUAACCCGGUUACUUUGCAUUUUUGUAAAGAUAACUACUUUUUCUAGUACUCGUCAAUUACCAGACGCUUCAUCACAUUUGAUGACGCUUACUAUUAUUGCAUGUUAAGAAUUUUAAAUAUGAUUUGUUUUAUAAAUUUAACACAAGCAUGCACAUUUUUUAAUUAUAUUAUUUCCAAUCGUUCAGAAUAAUUUUGUUCAAGACGUACAUAUUUAUUCCAUGGAAAACAAUUCACAAGAUUUGAACUUAAUGUGUGACCAAACCAUGGAAAAUAUAGAACAAAUUAUUGAGUAGAACCAACAACUCAAUGUUGUCGCACAGAUCAUGGACGCAUUCGACGUAGACGAGUACAAAGCGAUGAUGUCACAGAGAGAUGAAGAACAUCCUUAGUUUGUAAUCAAAUUUUUAAUUCUUAUAAAUGUUAGUUUUUUUUCUAAGAAAUUAAAACAUAAUAACCAUAAGGUUUGAAUAUUAAGUUUUUUUUAAUUAUAUAUUUUGAUGAAUUACAUUUUUAAGAAAUUAAACAUUAAUUUGUCAUUUUGUUUUUUUGUAAGAAAACCAUAUAGCAGCAGUGCACAACUUCCACUAAUUUGCUCAUGUUUCACAUGGAUGAAAGUGGUCAAUCUGGAUUGACGUGUAUUUAUGGAAGUUGUGUACCCCAUACAUGACUUCUUUCGAUUUCCAAAACCACCUUAAUUUUCUACAAUAGUUUGCUAAUAUACUCUAUUUUGAUUUUUUUUUUACAAACUACCUAUAUUUGUCAUUAUUUUAAAAAACACUUUAUUUUUUUAAAUAACCCCAAUGUCUAUCAAGAAGUUACAAAAAGUUACGAUAAACACUAAUAGGAGUCUAUAAAUUUUUAUAUAAUUGAUCGAAUAUAAAAUUUUACUAUAUUUUAUAAAUAUUUUCAACAACAAUUUUAUAGAAUUAUUAAAUAAGUAGAUAUGUAAACUUAUAUCUUUAUUAUAAAAUUACAUUCCACAAAUAACACAUGAAUAAAAUAAGAAAUUAUUGAGAAAUUAUUAGAAACAACAACAAAAAAAUAAAAAAUUACAAGAAGUUAAUUACAAGAAAUGAAAAAGGAUUUUUUUUCAAUCAUAAUAAAGAAAAUACAAACUAUAUAUGGCAAAAAUUUCUAAAAGCAAAAACUCAUUCCAUGCGCACAAAUUGUCUAUUUCAUUAUUUGUGAUAGUUCUCCAAAAAAAAUUUAAAAUCGAAAAAACACAAUUCAUAGAGAAAUACGAACCUCGCGUACAUCUAAAUUAUUACAAUCACACAAAAUACUCUCUAAUAAUAUUACAAUAUCACUCUCAAAACUUUUUUACAACCCACACUCUUUUCUUUUUACAUGAAAAAUACGAAAAAUGAAAUUUAACUCGAGUUAAUAUAUUUAUAUUAAACUUAAAAGGGUGUUUUUAAUUAGUAAAAUUUAGAACCAAAGUCAUAGUUAUCUUUUAAUGGUACUUGAGCCUAUUAAUUUCUUAAACGUGAGAUAAUUAAAUAAUUUAACUUUUUCUUAUUUUGCCAAAUAUUUUUAGUGGUUUCAAUAGCUACUAAAUUUAAUUCUUUUAAGGUUUUUUUAUGUAUCUAAAUUGUUUAAAUCCAUAGUUAUAUAUAAAAUUGUGGAUGAGAUCAAACUUUUCUUUUUUAAUUUACCCUUUAACUUUAUUUUUCAAUUAAAAUUUAAUUAUUGUAGUUAUUGCUAAAAUUUUUCGUAUUUGUAAUCAUCUAUAGUUUUCAGUAGAUAUUAAUUAUGUUGCUAUUUGAAUUUUAGUUAACCUUUUCAUUCCUCCACCCACCACUCUCUAACCAUUAAUCAUCCUUUUAUUUUUUCGUUUUUAAUAUAUCACCACCCUCUUAGUUAUAUUUCAAUUCCACCAUUAAUUAUUAAGUUAAAUUUAUUAUUUUAUCUCUCAAUUUUGCCUAAAGGUUCACACAAUUUAAUUAGUAGCAAUUUUAAAUCUACCUACAAUUUGUCAUUACUAAUAUUAAUAAUUAUUAAAAGAAUAAAUGGAAUGAAAAAAGAAUAUCAUAAAGACAUUAUUAUACGUUUCAUAAUGAUAUUAUAGGGUUUCAUAAUGAUAUUAUAGGUCUCAAAAUUAAUAAUUCAAAUUUUAAUUCAUUCAUUUAUGUUUGUCUUCUUCACCAACGCCUUUAAUCAUUUAUCUAUAUAUGUUCUACUGUUCUAUUCUUAUGGUAAAGAUCAAAGAUGAAGGCUCACAUGAGAACAUAGGUGAAGAGAAAAAAGGGAAACGAGAGUGGCAAUUUAGAGGAAAUUGUAAUUUUAAGUGUUCUUUUAGAGUAGAGUUUACCUUGGAUGCAACAAUUCACCCUCUAAUAUAUGGCUUGAGGAAGGAGUAUUCAAAUUUUGACAUUCUUCAUUUAUUUUGGUUCAUUUUUAUUUCGAGCCUCAUGAGUUUAUAGAAAAAAGAGAAACAACGUAAAGUUCAAGUACUUUUAUUUAUUUAAUCAUUUUCUCUUUUUAUGAAAAAAAUAACCAUUAAAUUAAUGUGUUGUAUUAUGGUUUUUUAUUUUCUAGCAAGAUCAUGGAGGUGAUGGUUUUCGUGUGCGUAGAGGUGAAAUUGACUAUGAGUACAAAUGAUAAAUGUAUCUGUAUAAAGAGAUUCUACUGUUGAAGAAGCUUGUUUAUAAACUAUACCAAAAGCAAUUGGGAGAGCUAAGUAAAAAAUAGAAAAUGAAAUUUUACUGUAUAAAUUAUUGUCUUGAAUAGUUUAAUAGGUGAAAUAUAGAAUUAUGUUUUAGAUGAGAAUUUUGAUUUGCAUCCACGUAACAUUAGUUUAAAUUAAUUGUUAUAUUUGUAUAUUGAAUUAUUUAAAUUCUAAAAUCAUAUAAUAGAAACAAGAUGCAACGUAUUUGAUCGACCAAUAUACUAUUUUCUGAAUGUAUACACCUUUCACGUUAAAAAAUCAUUUUUAUUAUGAAAUCAUACAACUAACUUAUUUGCAUGCUCACAUUUUAUUACACUUGAAAAUACAAAAACACGUAUCUUAUUCAAUUUAUAAAAAUCUCACUCUUAUAUAAUAAAAUAGAUUUCAUAUGUUUUGUACUAGUUAUUGACUAGUAAUAUUAAAAUAUCAUUAUAUUAUAUGAUUAUUGUACUUUUCAUUAUUCAUUUUCGCUCACAUACUUUUAAUAAAUCUUAAUAACUAGUCUCUUUAACUUUAAUUUUUUAAUGAAAUUUGUUAAAAUUGAUAAUAAUUUUUGCAUGCAAUUAAAUACUAUAUAUAUAUAAACGUUAUUCAAUUUAAUUUAUAAAUGAUAUCUCCAUAGGUCAUAUUUUGGAAGAAAAAAUAAACAAGAAACAACUGCAUUGAAGUAUUAUAACAGAGGACUAAAUCUUUGAUAGGUGUUGGUGCCCAAGGUAGGUAAGUCUAGAUUGGAAGUUUACUCAAUCAGAAGACCAACAUAUGACUAGCUAUUCUGACACCAUAAUUUUUGGUGCAGGAGCAAAAAAGAGUAAGUUAGAAUAUAGCAUACCUCAAGAUAGAGAACAAGAAUGAAAUUGCUCGCUCUUUGACUGGGUAUCAGAGAAUGGAAAGUACAUGGAUUAAAAAUAAAACAAACCUAUAUUUAAAUUUCUAAAAAGUUUCAAAUUUUAAUGACAGUAUGUGAAUAUAUGGUAAAAUUUAUAUUAUAAAAAAAAAGAAUUGUUGAACAAUCAAUCCUAAACUAAUUUUGGAUAAAGAUUUAUUAAAAGAGUAUAAAGUUUAGAAUUUAAAUAAUUAAAAAUAUACCAACCAAAGUGAUAUUUUAAUAUCAGUAAGGAAAACAUGGUUAAAAGAGUAAGAAAUGUAUAUAUAUUAAUUGAGUAAGAAGAAAUGAUAUAGGUGGAGGAAGCAACACGUUUCUUGUUGAGAAAAAGAGAGGGAUUUUCAAAGCAUAUUUGUUUAUUUUUUGGAAUGGAAACCAAUAAGGAAUUUAGAAAAAUGGAGCUGUCUUCUUUCAAAGGUCAAAAUAUGAAGCCUAAGGUUAAUUUAUUAAUUGGUUGUAAAUUUGCUGUAUUUCAGCUGUCAUAUUACAAAACAAUUCAAUGCUUUACCCUAGCUCUCAUAUAUAUAUAUAUACACACUUUCAAUUUCAACUCAAACCCAUAACUAAUAUAUGAUUUUUUGUACCAAAAACUAGCCUACAAGUAUAUUGAUUGGUUUCCUGUUUACCCUAAAAAAAAAUACUAAUAAUCUUUAAUGGAGCUUUUCGGUCUAAAAACUUUAGUAUGACAUAAAUAUUUUGUGAAAUUGAGACGCUAAGUUUAUUUUAUGAGUGCAAGCAACCCUUAAUUUUUUUUUUUUUUGUCAAAUAUGUGUGUUCUAAUCUCAUAAUGUGCAUAUUCAUUACCAAUAAUCGUGGCUUUAACUAUGACUUUCUCAAAAUUUUCAAAGUAGUUGUAUGCAAUGUGUUUUUACUUGUAAUGAUGUUGCGAUAAGGUGUAGCUAGUGUGAGAGAAAUAGUUGUAGAGUAUGACAAUAGGCUAAUGUUAGUCAAUGUAUUUUCAUCAUUGAAUUUUUUAUGAUUGGUUUCAUAUCUAUCCCAUGUACCAUUUAGCUUAGAGACUCUUAAAGAUUGUUUAUUCAAUGGAGAUUCAAUAUUUGUAUGGAAGGAUCAUCUGGAUUACUCUAUUCAUUUUUUGAGACUGAAUGAUACUCAUGAGGUUGAAGACAAUGUUUAUACCAAACAUAUUUAAAUUAAAUGUAAAACAAGAAAAAAAGAAUGACAUAUAAACAUAAAUUAAACAUAAUCUAAAUUACUCCAAAUUUUCCAAAUCUAUUUAAUCUACCUCUUUAUUAGCAAUGGAGAUGAGAAAAUGUAUCUAUCUAAUUGAAUCGCAUAUAUUUUAAUCUAUAAUAUUUUCAGUAAAUCUAAAAUUAUUUUUUUUUCGUUCUUUGAGAAGGCUACUUUUUGUUAAAAUUGAUUAAGUAAUAAUGGUAAAAAAAUUGAUAGCUUUUUGUAUCGAAAUCAUAGAUUCGUCACUAAAAUUAUAACUAUAUAGUUUCAAAGUUCACAACUUCUAUGGCUAAAAAAGCAUUAGAAAGUUGAGUCUAUAUGAACUGCCUUUCAAUGACUUUUUGAACAAUAAGUGAUCCAGCAUCAUACGAGCAAAAAGGGUUUUGGUUGUAGAAGUUGUCAAAUUUCAAUGAUGAUCAUGAGUCAAACUCCUCAAUAAAUUUUCAUGUUUAUUGGAUAUGAUCAAGAUUCAAUUCCUUCAAAAUAUAAAACAAAAGAAAAUUAUAUUGGCUCUAUCUUGUUGGAGAUGCCAUUCUAAAAGCCUUCAAUUUUGUCUACCUAAAAGCAUGAGUUGCCCUAAAUAAAUAAAUAAAAAAAAACGAGAAAACGAAAAGCAAAAUACAUAUAGAUGAAGAUGCUCGUAAACAAUGAUCACAAAAUCAGAAAUCAACUUAUCAAACAAGAAAAACACUUUGCCUUUUAGGAACAACAGGUUCCAAAAUAGUUGAACUUUUUUUUUUUUUUUACAAUGAAAAGUUUUUAACUUAUUAGCUAUAGUUCAAACUUUGACAAUCUUUUGUAAACCUCAUCACACAAAUUAAUAGAUUUGAGUGCAUCUGUGCAUUUAAUGAGGAAGAAAAUGAUGGUCUAGACCUCUUAGUUUGUUUAUGCAAUCCACAAAACUUUUCCAGCAUCUCAUUCCAUCACAUUCAAAAAUCUUUCAUAGAACAUUACAUCAUGGAAGAGAAUUUUGAUGGGUGCAUCUACUUUAAUGUUAAAUAAAAACUUCACUCGUCAAGAAUAUACGAUUGGUCAAAUUGUACAUUCAUUUAAAAAAAAAUGGUUGGAGUGAUUGUCUAGAAAGGAUAUUAAAUAUAAAUAUGGAAGAAAUUAUUAUUAAAACCAAAUUAAAGUUGAUGAAGAAAGUGAAUAAUUUAUGUAAGUAGGAAACAAAUUGAUUAAUUGACCUCUAAUUAACUAGUCUAACCUAAAUGAAAAAGUAAAGAGUUGAUUAAAAAAGAAAAUACAUAUACACCUCGUGCUUCGUAAUUUGCUUUCUUCAAAAUUCGGUCGCUCUAAUUACAAAGUGUUAAUUAAUAUAAAUUUCCAACACUUUUUAUUUGAAUAUUUAGCAAUCAUUGAAAGUCAACACAUUUGUUUGGUUCCAACACAACCCAUUGGGCAGUUGGUUUUGAAAUUCUCAAUUUUUUUUUCUUUUUUUCUAAUUAUAUUACAUAUAUAUAUAUAUGUAUGUAUGUAUUAGAAAAAUUCUAUUUAAUUUGAAUAUUAUGUAAGUUGUUUGAAUUGAGUCAAUCAUUGCAUUUAUUUCCCACUCGGCUUUGGUCGGUUCCACAUUUUGCCUCUUUUGUUUCUAAUUAUAAUACAAUUUCUCCCCAUUUUUCUUUUUCAAAAAACCAAAAUCUCACUUUCUUGGAAAUACCACAUUAACUUAUUUUUUCCCCUUAAUAAAAUAAUUUAUCAUCCAUUAAAUAAAAUAAUUCAUCAUCCAUUAAAUAGAAUAAUAUUAAGGAAAAACAACUUUUUCCCCUUAAGUUUUUUAUUCGGUUCAUGUUGGAUAUUAAGGCUUUAUUACAUAAAACAAUUGCAGACGUAGUACGUAUUUGGUUACGCUUUUGAAUUCCUUAUGUAAAUUGCAAUUGUUGUGUACUAUUACGUAGUUAUUUAUGAAUAGAUGGAAUGAGCUCCUUCCACGUAUACAUAAGAUGAUAUAAAUGUUUAAAGAUUUGAGUGGACUGAAUUUGUCGAAAUGCAUGUGUACUUUGUGUAGUGUCCGAUAGUUUUUUUGUAAACUGUUUUAUGUCUAUUUCAUCUUUGUUUUCUACUUAAUCACAUGACACAUGCGUGGAUACAUAUCUUUAUCAAUUUGGAGCAACUCGAGUACUUAGUAAAUGGUGAGGUAUCUUUUUAAUAGGAAGUUCUAUUCAAUUCACAUUUCUACCGCUAUACUUGUAUUGACCUAUUAAAAUUUCAACAUUCAACUAUAGAAAAUUUUGGAAGGAAGAUUCUUUUGUUGUGUUGAAUCCACAACUAAUGGUUGUCGAUAGGUAUGACUUCAACAAGUAUGAAGUAGGAAUGGAUGAUUUUACAGCAAAUACAACCCCACCCCCCACUCCCUACCGAAGUAACAAAAUGUGUGGUUCAUGUCUUAAUGUAACAUACAUACAUUUUACGUCAUUCUAAGUUGUUAAGUUCUUUAAAUUCAGUUAGACUUAAUGUGUGAGGCCCUAAUCCAGAAAAAGGGAGUCCUGUUGAAGAAGAGCUUUGCUUAGAAGUUAUUUCAGAUAAGUGUAAGUAUAGAACAUUCUGUAAGGAAGGAUUCAAGAGAAGAAAAGGCGACGCAAAGAGAAAUGCUAAGUUCUAUCGCAUUAAGGUAAGCGACGCGAUAAGAAUAGUCGACGAGGAAGAAGCAUGUCAUUGGAUGUCAAGAGCUAGGCAUUUAACAUAGUAAUAUAUGGAGAAGUACCUAUGCCUAAGCGAGUGUGGCGAGGAGGUAGGCAUCCCGUUGAAGUGAUUAAACGACCCUCUGAGGGAAGUAAAUGUCUAUUGCUUUUCAAGAAGAUAGAGAAAGUCAGUCGAUUAAAGAGUUUGACUUUCCAACGAUAUAAGGUUGGUGUCUCAAUGAAACAUCCAAUCGUUGCUGACAUUUUAGCCUACAUGCCAAGUUUGGGUUGGCUGCAUGGUGGGGUGAAUUGGUAAGGUGACACGUGUAAAGCGUUUAAAUGACCCUCAGAUGUAAAAGGCCAUUAUAAAUAGAGCCAAGGUUAAAGGAAAAAGGAGUUUUGGAGACGUUAGAUUUUUGGAUGAAAAUGACAAAGGGAAAGUCUGAGUGCUGAAUAGUUGGUCGUGAGAACCGCUAGACAAUAAGAGAAAGUCGAACGCCAAUAAGGAAGGAGUUUAGAUUAAGUAUUUUUGUGAGUGAUUCUUAUAAGUGAAUAAAUGUUUGCAAGUGAUUCUUCAUAAAGUAAAAUGAGUAUUUGUUUACGAAUGAAUGAUUAUUUAUCACGAAAAUGUUUGUAUUUAUGAUAUUCAUCUAAAAAGAAAUGUUUUAUAAAUAUUGUGUUACAAGUAUUCUUUCGUAACCCUGUGUUUAUGCUUAUUGCAUGACUUUUUUAUUUUUGGGAUAAUCUGUGUGAGGAGUAAGCAGUGAGCUAAUACUCCAUUUUUACUAAUUGUGUAGUUUGUGCUUUGUGGUGUGGUAUGAUCUAUCACAAGACGCUAGUGAAAAUCUCAGGUAACUUGUGUGACGCUGGUUGAAUGUGAAUCCAAGCCCAAGCGAGGAGAGAAUCCCAGAUCCUGGUGAUGAGUUUGGAGUGUGUGAUGACUUAAAGCUUGUGAAGCUUAUUUGUGCUUGUGAUGAUGGUUUGUUUGUGUUUUAAUCCGAUGUGAGGAUCUUGUGUUUGUGAUAUGAGCUUGUUAUUAUCUGAACUUGUUGUAUUCCCCAAAUAAUUUUUCUCAAACCUAUCACUCACUAAGUCCUUUUGACUUACGUUUUAAGUUUUUCCCUCUUUAGGUUGUCAAACAUUGAAGCCAAGUAAAGGAUAGUUCUUAAGCGUGAAAGGCAAGUUGAAGAGGGGAGACAUUUUUUAUGUAAGCCUAUGCGGCGUGAGAGUUGUCACUACACCUCGCAUUCAAGGAGUUGGUUGGCAAGUUCACCGUCCUUAACGUAGAUGGCCUAGCUCAUAAAGAAGACGAGUGCAACACCAAGACUGGUAAGACGAAGCUCAGAGAGCUAGAAAACCGAAGAGCUAAGUCAGAAAAGGAAGCCCUAAACGCUGUCUGCAAAAAUGGAUGGUUGGACGAUCUAGGUGAAAGAUGAAGUGAAGCCUUUACACCUCUAAGUACCCUGUCUCAAGAAGCAGCGUUUGACGGCAAAGAAAGAAAAUGAGUCUUAUACUCCAAAACACCUCGACACGAAGAAGCAACACCUUGGUGGAAGAAGAAGGAUGUGUAGAUCAAUCUUUGUUUUAUUUUCCAUGCAAGAAAGAAAAUGGUUGUAUUUAUAAUUUGAGCUCUGUGUAAAGUGUUAAGUUAAAAAAGAUAGAGAGGAAGUUAUUUUUAUUUCGCUGGUAUUCUUUUAUGUUUAUGGCCUAGAAGCUAAGGUUUAGAGCUAAGUGUUAAGUACUAGACCAAUGAGCUAAGUCCAAGAGUUGUUCUUUUUUCCCUGAUGGUCUCUAAGGUCCAUCCCCGUAAGUUUUUCUUAUAAUUCUUAUGUUUUGUUGGUUCUUUGAGGUGACAAUAUUUAAGUAUGAUCGAGAAUGAUGAAACACAAGCCCUCAUAUCUUUCGAUGAAGAUAACAUUUAUCAAAUGUCUAUUAAGAAAUUUUGGUUUGCAUGAGUUGAAUUAGAUUAUGUGUUGUAGUGUUCUGACUAUCCUGUAGUUAUGGUAAACAUAUAAAAGUUAUGUCGUAUGAUGUUUAGACGUGUGUGUUUUAGAAUUCAUGUUGAAAUAUUCUUGGAAAAAGGUAAGUUUGAUAAUUUUUUAUGUCUUUUAUAUUAGUAUUCUUGUUGAGAGGUUUAUGCUUUCCAUUAAGUUUUAUGUGUUCUUGAGGCAUUUUGUGUGCUUAUUGAGAAGAUUAAGUCUGCUUAGCAUAUACUUAUUAAAUGUUAAUAAAAGCUCAUUUUUUGUGAUUUUGCAGCUUUUCAAAGAAUCAGUGGACCAUAAAAACAUGUCGAUUUAUGCAUUAGUUUUCACAGUUUUAGGUGAAUAAUAUGUGUCACAUGUAUUUUAUUGUAUUACCAUUUAUAGAUCUUUACUAGAGAUAAUGUAAUUUAAAUUUUCAUUGUCAAUGUAUAGAUCUUUCUAAACAUAUAUGGGUAAUGAUGUCUCCUGCAAAUCCGGACUUCGAUUUUUUUACAGCAGAAAAAAAUGUAGAAAUAAGUAAUUACAUGACAAAAAACUCGUGUUGUGAUCUGAAAAAUAAUGACGCUCAAGAAGUGUCGAUAUAUAAGCAAUUAUUACACAAGUACAAUGUCAUGAGAGUACAUAUGUAGACAAUAACUAUGUGUAAUGAAAAGCUAAUACAUGAAACAAAAAAAAAUCGUCAAUAACAAAAAAGCUCAUGAAGCCGACCAUUUUUUUUUAUAUAUUCCUAGUUUGCCUUCUUUUCCAUCUCUUUCUUCUCUUCCUCCUUUACAAUUUUUCUUUUCCUUUCCAUCGUCUUUCAUCUCUUCUUCUUCUACAAAUUUUUAAGAUAGAUAUUGGUACACGAUCUUGAACAAAAAUCAUUGAGAUAUUGAUAUACAAUCAAAUAUAUAACAAAUUAAAUAUAAAAAUCGUUGGAACAUUGGUACGUAGAUUUGGGUACUAAAAUCUAAACUAUCAUGUAACAAAUAAUCUUUAAAAAAUCAUUGGGAUAUAUUGGUGCACGAUUGUUUAGAUUUGGACCAAAGGAUCUACCCAAAUCUAAACUAUUAAAUAUAUUAUGCGUGUUGACAAAAAAUUUUAAUUGUGGGCUUGUAGACUUUUUUCGUUUUUAAAAUUGUUCAAUACGGAGUAAAUAUUUUGUCGCUUUGUUAUAUUUUUUUUUUUAAAAAAAUGAAAAAUGUAAUCAAAUCUAUGGAUGGAGGAGGGAGAAAGAGAUGAAAAACGUAAUAAAAUAUUCAAAUCAUCGUUUUUAUUUUAGAAAAAAAUUGUCAAAUACUUUUCAAUAAAAAUUGUAUAGUACAUAAAUUUUUGUGCAACAAAUCGAUAAAAGAUUUACACUGUAUGGAACAAUUCAGAAAAAAGAAAGAAGCCCAUAAGCCUAGAAUAAAAAAUAUAAAAAAUGUCACAGUCAACACGCGAUUAAUCGAUCACACACAUGCAUGUAAUUCUUCUUCUAAAUGAUCACGACACACGAUCAUGUAGGUAAUGAUACACAAUCAAUUUUUAUAAUAUCUAAAAUUUUAAAACUAAGAGUCCAUUUCGAGUACACGUAUUAAUUUUACCGAUAUAAUUGUUAAACGUUUAAAAUAUUUGAAUGAUUGAAAUAAUUAUAGGUGUGAUUGUUAAUGUUUCAACUUAAAUAUAUGUUUUAAAUUAAGUUACGAGUUUUGUGUUAUUUAAACCAUUAUUUAGUUUAUGGUUAUAUUAGUUAAUUAUUUAUUGAAUUAAAAUAAAAAAUAAUUGAACACAUUUAUAUUAAACAUAACUAAAUGAUAUAAAUAGUAAAGAUAGUAGUUGAAUUUAAUUGACUCUAAAUAACAUAUUUAUAUUUAAUAAUUAAUUAAAAUUAAUAAUAAACAAGCAAACACAUUCAUUCAACCUUGAAUUUCAAAAAGAAGUGGAUAACAAAUAAUGUGAAACAAAAAAAAAAAAAAGAUGGUUUUUCCAAAAUAAAAUGAAACAAAAGUUGUAAUACUAACAAAAAGUAGAUGUGAACAAAAAUAUGUUGUGAAAAAAAAAGAAAAGAAAAGAAAAGAAGAUGUAAGAUGUUUUUGAUAAGGGUCAAAAGUUUAAUUAUGAAGAACAAUACUAGGAAUAUAUAUAAAAAUGAAUGAAUGAAUUAAUUAAGAAUUAAAGGUUUUGUGAAAGAAAAAUAAUAAUAAUAAUUAAGAGUUUAGAGGGACCAUAUAGCCCCAUUCCACCCUAGCUGCUCCACUACCUAGAGAUAAUAACUACUCUACCAAUAUUUGAACAUUUUAAUAUGCUUAAUUAUUACACUACUAAAUAAUAAUAAUAAUACAAAAUUAAUCAUCUCCCUCACUCUCCCUAACUACUAAACUACUAACUUCCUCUCUUUUCUAUUUUUAACCUUUUCAAAAAUACUAAUAUUAACUCUUUCUAUUAUAUAUAUAUAUAUUCAUAUAUCCAAUAACUUCCAUAUUAAUAAACAUGAGUAAUGAAGAUAGUUAAAUACCAUUCAAAUUGAAUGGAUCCUUCGUUCAUUUUGAUUUUUUUUUUCUCUCAUUAUACUAAAAACAAAUACAAGGGUUUUGGUAAAAGGAGUUGGAUGAAGAGAAAGUAAGUUGAAAAAAUAGAGCCAAAAGAAAGGUAGAAUAGAACAGUUUUAAUUAAGAUGUUUAAAAAAGAAGUAGAAUAAGUUAGGAAAUGAGAGAAGUUGGAGGAAGAAUAUAUUUAGUAUUGAGAAGUUGUAAGAAGAAAAAGGGGGAUGGACAUGGACGUAUUAACAAAGAGGUUUGGCGUUCGAGGCCCGCCAAAAUCUCCCUCCUCCGUCUUCCGCGGAAACACUUUUCUUCAAACAAAAAUUACAAAAUACAAUAUUUAUUAUUAUUAUUAUUAUUAGUUAAGAGUUAAAAUAUUUAUUCAUUUCUUAUCUCCCUAUCCAGACAUUUGAAACUUUGGACAACAAAUUAACUUUUGUAAGGUGUAUAAUGUAACGACUUAGACUAGUUGAUGAGUGGAGAAUAAAAAAAACCUAUUUCUAAAAUAUUCAAUCAAAUUUAACCUCUACCCUUAUAUUUUUUUAGUACAACUAGUGGGAGGUAUACAUUUGAGCAUUUGACUCGAAGGUAAAGAAUAUAUGCCAAUUAUGAUUGAGUAAUACAUAUGCUAACUUACUUAUCAAGUUUCAUUUAUAAAAUCAAAUGGUUUGAUAUAAGUUAUGAGACUGAGGAGCUGUAAACUUUUGGAGAUAGAAGAACUAACAACAAUAUUAAAUCAUGUUUCAACUCAUUAAACGAAUUAGAAAGACAAGUAAUCUUAAUUCCUACAAAACCGCGACGAGGAAAUUUGAUAAGGGUGAGGUGAAACCAAUUUAGAAAAACAAGAGAAAAGAAAACGGUAAAAUUAAGAUGUCGAUAUAAAGAUGAUAGAAAUAUUAUAAUAAUGAAAUAUUACUUGUUUAGAUAAAUUUAAAAAAAAAAAAAAAGUCAAACAAAAGAAAACAAUCCUUUUUUUUUUUUUUUUCAUUUCUCUAUUUAUUAUCGUCUUCUCACUCUCUCAAUCCUUCCCCUUCCUCCUCCCCACUCCCCAUUCUCUCUGUCUUUCUUUAUUCAACUUUGCUUUUCAUUCACUUUUACCCAAAUUCCCAUUUCCUCAUUUGGGUGAAGCAAUUUUUCAACAUCUAAAUCUGUUGAUGGACAACCAAUUCUUCCUCAAUCCUACUGGAAUCUCUCAAUCUCUUAUGCAUUUUGAUUCCAAUCCUUCCAUUGCUACUUGGCACCAACAAUUUUCAUCCCCCAUGGAUCUUCCAACUCAACUUCCUGACCUUACUCACUGUUCUUCUUCCUCUCACCAAUCGCCACCGGAUUGUUUUCUCAAUCCGGUUUCCGAUCAGAGCUUUCAAUUUGAUUCUGCUUUGAGUUCCAUGGUUUCUUCUCCAGCGGCCUCGAAUUCUAACAUAACCAAUGAGAGCUUCGCGAUCAGAGAACUGAUCGGUAAAUUAGGUGGAAAUUCUGAGAGGAGGAUCUUGGAAUUGAGUAAUUCUACUGCCGCCGCCGCAUUGCCUCCUUCUUCUUCGAGUGUGGCCGAAUUUUCGUCCGAUCCUGGAUUUGCUGAACGAGCUGCUAGGUUUUCGUGUUUUGGAAGUAGGAGUUUCAAUGGCCGCCAGUUGACGAACGAAUUCGGUAAUUAUAGAUCUCAUCUCUCCAUCGGUAAUGAGAAAUUGAGCCGAGUUUCGAGCAGUCCAUCGCUUAAAGCACUUGGAUCUGAAAUGAAUUUGCAAGAACACAAGAACAAUUCCUCAUCGCAAGAAGAUGAAUCGUCUCUCUCGAAUCAAGACAAAACGAUUACGAAUCCACGGAAGAGAAAAGCAAUUACGAAGGCUAAACUCAAAGAACCGGUAAGAUUCCAACAUCUCAUCUCUCUUUCUUCUACAUCUGAAAUUGUGAAAUCAUUCCCUGAAAAUUGAAUUUCCUUGUUGUUCUGCCAUUGUUGCAGGUGGUUGAAGCUACUCCCGAAAAAGAAAGUCCGAAGAAGUUGAAGACAGUGGAAAGAAAGGAAAACGUGAAAACGGAAGAGGAUUUGAAGAAAAACGAUGAAAAUUCAGCGGAAGAGAGACAAACAAAGGCGAAUUCAAAACCUCCUGAAGCUCCUAAAGAUUACAUUCAUGUUAGAGCAAGAAGAGGGCAAGCUACAGAUAGCCAUAGUCUUGCUGAAAGAGUGAGUAUGAAACUAAUUAAUUACAAAAUUGAAGAUCAUUCUGAUGAUUGAUAAUGUUUAAUAUGUAAAAUAAAAAUUCCCGUUUUGUGAAUUUGAAGGUUAGAAGAGAGAAAAUCAGUGAAAGAAUGAAGCUUCUUCAAGAUCUUGUACCAGGUUGCAACAAGGUUGGUCAAGAACACACACACACACAAAAUUGUUAAUUGUUACUUUUAUAUAUACAUAUAUAAAUUUGAUUGAAGAAGAACUAAAAAUAGGUAACUGGAAAAGCUUUGAUGUUGGAUGAGAUAAUCAACUAUGUGCAGUCAUUACAACACCAAGUUGAGGUAAUUAAAAUGGGCCACUUGAAAACUUUAUAGGGACAUAAUUACAAGUUUAUAAAUGAAUGAUUUUGAAUGUUGGGUGGGUUUCAGUUUCUUUCCAUGAAGUUGGCUUCUGUGAAUACAACCAGGGUGGAUUUCAACGUGGAUUCUCUUAUCUCUUCUAAACAAGUAAUUCUUUCUCCCACUUUUCUUCUCUCUCGAACCCAAACCUAAACCAAAUAUCAACAAACAUACACAUUAUUACAAAUUAAAAUUACCAUUUCUUUUCUUCUUUUUAAUUUUAAUCUCUGUCCUCCCAAUUAUCCAAUUUUACUCCAUAUGUAUCAAAAUCUUUUUAAAUAAACAAUAAUUAGACAAUUGAAAGUAUAUGGAGGAAAAAAAUAUAUUUUAACUAAAAUAUAAACAUUAAAAAAAAAAGAAAAAAAAAAAAGAAAAAGGAAUUUUCUUUUCCCUUCACUUUUUCUUUCUUUACUCUUUAAACUUCCAAUUCACUUUAUUAUCAUUAUCUUUAUUUUUUUGCUUGCUUUAACAAAAAUUAUAUAUUUUUUGGGGGGUUGAGACAGAUGUACCAAUCAGGAACAAGUUUGACACAUCCUCAAAUUUCCCCUAUAGAUUCCUCAACUUCAAGCUUUUAUGGGCACCAAAAUUCCUCUCUUCCAACCACCUCUCAUUGCUCUGUGGACCCUAUUGACUCUGUUUUAUGCCAAAAUCUUCCUAUUCAACUCCCUCCUCUCAAUUCCUUCCUUCAAAAUCCCUCUCAGGUAAUUCCUUUUACUAUCCAACCUUUCCUAAAACAAUCAGGAUCAUUACCAGUCGCUAAUUACUCGACGACUAUAUUAAUUUUUUUUGUUCUAUGUAUGACACAGUAUCCAAAUUUCGGAGAAGAUGAACUUCAAAGCAUUGUUCAAAUGGGGUUCGUCCAAAAUCAGACUCAAGAAAUAUCAUUACAAUCUCACAACUUCAACUUAGGUAAUCAUCAUACAUUGUAAUAAUUAAUAAUCAUAAUAAUAACAACAACAAUAAUUUUACAUAUAUUUAAUUUUGAAAAUUGAAAGUGGAAUUUUGUGAUUAUGCAGGCUCAGAUCAAAUGAAAAUUGAACUCUGAUCUCUUCCUUCAACACCAUAUACAAAGGCGCUGCUGUUGUAAAUAUAAGAGAUUAAAUUUUCAAGCAUUGAUUAAAAGGCAAAAAAAUUCCCAAUUUAUCCCAUUUCUUAGGUCUAAUUAAGGAGAGAAAAAAUUACUUUGUCUUUUCUUUUUCUUUUUUUUUUUCUUUUCCAAUCUGUUUUAUAUUUUAAUAUUGUUGUUUUUUUUUUCUUCUAAUUUUGUGGGAUGAGAGAGGAAAGUUUCUACUUUUCUUACAACUUUCCACUGUAAAAUCUCUAGAAGCAAGUCUGUCCCUAAGGUGCAAAGUUGUAUAGCACCAAAUCGUAAGAUAAAAAAGCCAAAAAAAAAAAAAAAAAGGAGGGCUAAUUUAAGGGAUUAUUUUUUAUAAUUAUUGUCUCUCUCUCUCUCUCUCUCUCUCUCUCUCUCUCUCUCUCUUCCCUUUUUUAAUUUAUCAGCUUUUAUUAUCCAUGGUGUUGGACAUUUUGUCCUUUGAUGUAAGAUAAGGAAAUUUAAAAAAAAGAUAAAUAUAAUUAAGAACAAAGAACUUUAGGAGUAAUAAUAAUAAUACUAAUAAUCUUUUGCCACUUUUAAUGUUUGGUUGGGGUGAUGUCAAAUCAAUGGUAUUUUAUGAAGUAAUCAAAUAGAUUUGAUUCUUACUUAAUGUUGUAACCAGCUGUCUAAAUGCACUGUCUGUACUCUAAAAAAACAAAUA